rnacentral:tRNA from 1 species
AGGAUUAUAGUUUAAUUUUAAAACAAUUGAAUUGCAAUCAAAAAAUAUUAUUUUUAAUUUAUCUU